rnacentral:lncRNA from 1 species
GCCUCCACCGCCUUCUUCCAGGAGGAGGGGCCGUGCGGCGCCUGCCCGGGGGCCCUCAGGCCGCAGGCGGGCGCGAGCUUCAGGGAACUUAGGGGGCUCCCGCCUCCCCGGCCACGCGAGCGGGAACAGUCUCCUCCACUCGGAGCGGUAAGGGACCCGGAAAUGCGCGGGUGCCCCUACAGAGUCUUGAGUUUUCCCCGCCCUCACCUCCGAAAAUGCUCUUUUCGCCUUAGAAUUGUAGCUAGCGCAGGGAAAAACUGACUGGGCAAAGGAAAACUGGGGAGGCUGUCAUGGAAGCCGCCCAGAAUAAGAAAAUGAAUGAAUGAGGCAAAGAAACAGAUUUGUCACUCCCCACGCGAUCGCGCCCACAAAAGAAAACAUGGUUUUAAGGCGUGGAAAAUGAAGUUGUACUACAGACAAAAUUUUAAGAAAAAAUUAUCCACUGUUCCUUUAGAGCUAUCUCCCUGUGUGUGAAAAACAAAACAAAAGUUAAAACGCCAUCCUUUUCUACACCUAAUGCUCCCUCCCACUUUUCUGAUUUCUGCCACAGGCGCCAUCUUCAGCUCUGAGUCACCAGGGCUGGAAAAAUACUAGAUGCGCUACUCGUGGACUCGUGAAUACACUCGUGAAUACAGGCCAUUUCCUGUACCUACAGCCACCCGCUAUUAUAGAUCCAGACUCCUGUGCCUGACCACUGCCCAUGGCCAACUCUCUGCUGAUGACUGGACUUGACUACACAAGUUGUUGGGUACUUUGACUAGAACACCAACCAAGUCAUUGGAAAUAUAAUGCUUUGUUCUUUCUAGCUCCAAGAUAUGAACAUGUGACAACCCAAACAAACAAAAUCCCAACAAGGUUGUCAGAUAUGCAAAUUACAGUUGACCCUUGAACAACAGAGAGGGUAGAGGUGCUGAUCACUGGCACAGUUGAAAAUUCAAAAGUUUUGACUCCCCUAAAACUUAAUUACUAAUAACCUACUGUUGACUAGAAGCCUACUGAUAAUAUAAACGAUUUAUUAACACAUAUUUUAUAUGUUAUAUGUAUUAGGUACUGUAUUAUAAUAAAGUAAGCUAGAGCAAAGAAAAUGUUAUGGAUAAAAUCAUAAGAAAGAGAAAAGAUAUUUACUCUCCAUUGAAUAGAAAUGGCUCAUCAUAAAGAUCUUCA